CCGCCCGUCACACCAUGGGAGUUGACUGCACCAGAAGCAGGUAGCCUAACCGCAAGGAUGGCGCCUACCACGGUGUGGUCAAUGACUGGGGGUG
rnacentral:rRNA from 1 species